rnacentral:rRNA from 1 species
GUGCCAGCAGCCGCGGUAAUACCGGCAGCACGAGUGAUGGCCGAUUUUAUUGGGCCUAAAGCGUUCGUAGCCGGCCGGACAAGUCCGUUGGGAAAUCCACGCGCUCAACGCGUGGGCGUCCAGCGGAAACUAUCCGGCUUGGGGCCGGAAGACUCGAGGGGUACGUCCGGGGUAGGAGUGAAAUCCCGUAAUCCUGGACGGACCGCCGAUGGCGAAAGCACGUCGCGAGAACGGAUCCGACAGUGAGGGACGAAAGCCAGGGUCUCGAACCGGAUUAGAUACCCUGGUAGUCC